GACGAACCGUGCGAACGUUGUUCGAAGAUCACUGGGCUUAAAGGGCGCGUAGGCGGUUGGUCAAGUCAGGGGUGAAAUCUUUCGGCUCAACCGGAAAACUGCCUUUGAUACUGACUGGCUGGAGGGAGAUAGGGGUUGCGGGAACUACCAGUGGAGCGGUGAAAUGCGUUGAUAUUGGUAGGAACGCCGGUGGCGAAAGCGCGCAACUGGAUCUCCUCUGACGCUGAGUGCGCGAAAGCUAGGGGAGCAAACGGG
rnacentral:rRNA from 1 species